rnacentral:lncRNA from 1 species
GUUUAAAGUCAAGCUUACACCAGGAACUGGAAAACGAGGCAAAGCUGCUAUUUCAUCUCUGCAUUCUUUUCUUAUGACCAAAGGUAUUAGCGAUUGGGAGAAGGAUCUUCUUAAAUGUUUAAAGGACUCGGAUAUUUCAAGAAAUUUACCUGGAAAAGUGAAAGUUUCUGGACCAAAUUUGCAUAAAGUUAAAAAGAAAUGAUUUAGAUUAAAUGAUAAAACGGU